ensembl:processed_transcript Gm28496 predicted gene 28496
GGCGGUGGCGCGCGCCUGUGGCGAUCGCGUGUGAGGUGAGGUCUGUCCCGGAAAUCUCUACCACUGCCCCUCCCCCGUGUGGGAUUUUGGCAAUUUUGUGCAACCUAGAACACAUGAGGGCUGGAGGAGGAUGGGGUGUAGGGGCAGAUACACGAUACGGAGUUACCAAGGCGGAAGUGAGUGCACGUGGAGGACUGGAUUGCUUCGGAGCAGCAGGUGUAUCUUGAAGCCACGUAGCCAUCCAUCAUCAUCUUACUGUGGUGGCUGAGGCGGGAGGAUCCUGAGUUAACAUCCAGACUGGACUACAUACAAAAAUAAACAGAGGCAGUUCCUUCAGACAACCAGGCUUCCCUCCAGGUGGUUUCUACAAACAUCCUACUUCCCUUCAGGAGUCUUCUCUCCAGCAACCACCUACGUCUUCUAUAAUGGGUGAACCUGGAAAGAUGUCUUGAGUUUUGUGAGCCUCUUGAGCCAUCUUCCCCCCUGGACUGCAGAAACACCUGCACCACAAACAGAAGUGCUCCUCUGUGUAGAGGUCAGAGGUCAAAGCCAAAGGUCUUGUUUGAUUGCUUUUCACCUAUUGUGAUCAUUCUCACUGAACCUGGAGUUCACUGAUUUGGCCAGCAAGCCCCAGGGAUUCUCCUGUCUCUACCUCUAGUGCCGAGGUGGCUGGCACAAGCACCAUGCCUGGCUUUUUAUAGGCGAGCUAGGGAAUCAAACUCAGGUCCUCACACUUAAGUACUUACCCACUGAGUCACCCCUGAGCUCCUUUGCUGGGGUGGGGGUGGGGGAUUACUUAAAAAAUGGUGAAGACAUCUUUGUGAGUCACCGAAGGUCAUUCCACUGGCAGGCGUCAGAGCUGGGAUUAAGCCCACACUGGCAUCACCCUAAGUGGCUUCUCACCAUGUGUGUCCCCCUCUCAGUGUCCAGCCUGAGGUAUCACUGCAAAGAGUGGGGCCCCUCCAGUGGUGCAUUCCCUCUAUGCACAGCUGGUAGCCAUCAGUGGGAGGUGGAGGCAGUUACACGCACACGCGUGCAUGCACACACACACACACACACACACACACGUAUCUCCCCUCUCCUCUGUACCUCUAAUAACCUGGAAAGUCAUUUUAAAGGUAUAAAGAGGAGUCAGGAACCUACAAAGAACACUGAGUGGUCACAGUCAAAGUGCCUUGCUGCUGUCUCUGUGGUCCAGAGCUCAGAAGCUGUCACCUACCAGCACCAGGCUUCACACCACGAUGAACAUUCUGCCACCUUCACAAGCUGGGGGACCAAAUUCUAGGCUAAGUCCUGACUGUUAGUUCCCACCCUUGCAUCUGGCAGACACGAGGAUGCCAUUUUGCCUGUACCACUGGACCCCGUCUUUAUACCUCAGUCAUUCUCCUGCCUCAACAUACCAGAGCCAAUCUGUUCCUUCCCUGCUCACAACUCUCCCAUGGCUCCCCAGCACACUCUAGGGAAGAAAAGAGAACCCAGUGUGGAGAUCCAGGUCCGUACUCUCCAAUCUCAUAGGUCUUCAUGCUGGAUUUAGGUACCAUGAGUGAAUUACACACCCACAUCCCCUUCCCCACCAAUCCCCAGUGUGAAUGUCUCUUCUACCCAAAAUGCCCUUCCCUGGUCUCCAUGGUCACCAUUCUGGUCUCCCCGACAACCCCCUCCCAUUCUCGGAGCCUCUUUCCUGUCUGACUCCGAGGUCUGGGUGAGGGAGGCCAAGUGCUGUGCGGCUAGGACCCAUGGCUAUGAACUUGCAGGAAGUGAGGACAGGUGAAGGGGCUGGGGCAGAGGUGGGGGGAGGGAGGGGAGGGAGCUGACUCCUGACCUCCUCCCCCAGAAUGUGACCUUGGCCAUGGCCGUGUUCACCAUCCUAGCCUCCAUCUACUUCUUCAACAAGGUGAGGGGGAGGCGGGAUGAGAGGGCUCUGUCUCUCCUGUCUCUCUUCAUUUGGCCCUGGAGCUUUUACUAUCCUGAGCUGCCACGUGUCUACAUUGUACUUCUAUCUCUGCUCUAGGCUCAGCAGUAAGAAGGCAUGACGCCCCACUCCACCAGCUUGGCCCCCGCCUGCUCUGCCAUUGCGCUGGCCUCUGAGAUCCAAUAAAUGUAACAGCACC